UCAGUAACAAAGAUUCAUCCUUGUGUCAAUCAUACAACACGGAGAGUCUUUGUCACUCAGU
rnacentral:pre_miRNA from 1 species